rnacentral:rRNA from 1 species
GUGCCAGCAGCCGCGGUAAUACGUAGGGGGCAAGCGUUGUCCGGAUUUAUUGGGCGUAAAGCGCACGCAGGCGGUCUUUUACGUUUUGAGUGACAGGUGGUGGCUCAACUGCCACAGGCCUCGAAAUACGGGAAGACUUGAGGACUUCAGAGGGAUGCGGAAUUCCAGGUGGAGCGGUGAAAUGCGUAGAGAUCUGGAAGAACACCAAAGGCGAAGGCAGCAUCCUGGGAAGGACCUGACGCUAAUGUGCGGAAGCUAGGGGAGCGAACGGGAUUAGAUACCCCAGUAGUCC